rnacentral:rRNA from 1 species
CAGCCGCCACGGUAAAACGAAGGGUGCAAGCGUUAAUCGGAAUUACUGGGCGUAAAGCGUGCGUAGGCGGUGAGUUAAGUCUGCUGUGAAAUCCCCGGGCUCAACCUGGGAAUGGCAGUGGAUACUGGCUCGCUAGAGUGUGUCAGAGGAUGGUGGAAUUCCCGGUGUAGCGGUGAAAUGCGUAGAGAUCGGGAGGAACAUCAGUGGCGAAGGCGGCCAUCUGGGACAACACUGACGCUGAGGCACGAAAGCGUGGGGAGCAAACAGGAUUAGAUACCCGGGUAGUCCCUGUCUCUUAUAC